rnacentral:rRNA from 1 species
UUAGGUUAACGUCCCGCAACGAGCGCCAACCCUAUUGUUAGUUGCCAUCAUUCAGUUGGGCACUCCAGCGAGACUGCGGUAAUAAACCGGAGGAAGGUGGGGAUGACGUCAAAUCAUCAUGCCCCUUAUGACCUGGGCUACACACGUGCUACAAUGGUUGGUACAACGAGUUGCGAGUCGGUGACGGCGAGCUAAUCUCUUAAAGCCAAUCUCAGUUCGGAUUGUAGGCUGCAACUCGCCUACAUGAAGUCGGAAUCGCUAGUAAUCGCGGAUCAGCACGCCGCGGUGAAUACGUUCCCGGGCCUU